rnacentral:piRNA from 1 species
UGGGAGCGUCUUGUGUUCUGUCUCUUC